UACGUAGGGGGCAAGCGUUGUCCGGAAUCAUUGGGCGUAAAGAGCGUGUAGGCGGUUCGGUAAGUCCGCUGUAAAAGUCCAGGGCUCAACCCUGGAAAGCCGGUGGAUACUGUCGGGCUAGAGUCCGGAAGAGGCGAGUGGAAUUCCUGGUGUAGCGGUGGAAUGCGCAGAUAUCAGGAGGAACACCGAUGGCGAAGGCAGCUCGCUGGGACGGUACUGACGCUGAGGCGCGAAAGCGUGGGGAGCGAACAGG
rnacentral:rRNA from 1 species